ACGCACGCUGGCGGCAUGCCUAACCCCUGCACGUCGAACGCGACCUUCGGGUCUAGUGGCGCACGGGUGCGUAACGCGUGGGAACCUGCCCUUAGGUUCGGAAUAACUCCCCGAAAGGGGUGCUAAUACCGGAUAAUGUCUUCGGACCAAAGAUUUAUCGCCUUUGGAUAGGCCCGCGUUGGAUUAGCUAGUUGGUAGGGUAAAAGCCUACCAAGGCGACGAUCCAUAGCUGGUCUGAGAGGAUGAUCAGCCACACUGGGACUGAGACACGGCCCAGACUCCUACGGGAGGCAGCAGUGGGGAAUAUUGGACAAUGGGCGAAAGCCUGAUCCAGCAAUGCCGCGUGAGUGAUGAAGGCCUUAGGGUUGUAAAGCUCUUUUACCCGGGAUGAUAAUGACAGUACCGGGAGAAUAAGCUCCGGCUAACUCCGUG
rnacentral:rRNA from 1 species